rnacentral:misc_RNA from 1 species
UCCACUACCGGCAUCGAUGAUGCCUUCCCCUUCGAGUUCUCCUCCGGCUAGUGGGCUCGAGACAUCCUCCUCGAAACCGCACGUGUCGUUGUCUACAAGAACACCACCCGCCUCCAACAACUCAUGUGGAUGCUAAACAAGCUCAGCUCCCCCUACGACGACACCGACCAGAAACUAGCCUCGUACUUCCUCCAAACCUUCUUCAGCCACAUCACCCAAG